AUGAGGUUUCAAUGUAAAUUGAGGUCAAAUUGUGGAAGGCCUACAUUUGUAGGACAUGGGGAGCCACUAAAAGUGUCUGUCUGUUUAGAGCUGUGCUUUAUGAAGACAACGCCAUCAGCAGAGUGUGUAAGAGGCGAAAGUGGGGAGAGACUGGAGGCAAAGAGGCCAGGUCACAGCCCUGUGUCAAAUGUCACCAGACAAUAUGAUUGUAACAAUGUCGCAGGCUUCAGGGAACUGUUUCAUAAGAAAUCUCCUAUGUGGUCGUGGAGCAAGGAACUUGUGGCUUCUUCUCCUCCUACCGUGUCUGCAUCGGUACCAGACAGAGUGUCACCUAUUGUGUCAUUUGAACUCCCUCAACAUCAUCUAUGGAUCCCUGGUGACACCGCUGUGAUGUGAGAUGAAGCGGGUUCAAGAGCAGAAGAAAAGACAGUAUUAUGAAGAGAAGUUACAGUGUCAAGAAGCUGACUCUAGAAUGUGAGGUGGAAAAUCAGGGACUUCAGAGUCAACAGGGCUGGGUUUAAACAUCAGCUUUACUGCUUACGAACAUUUGACCUUAAAUAACUUACUUAACCUCUAUGAGCCUUAGUUUCUGAAUCUAUGGAACAAGGACUAUAAUACAUGCCUCAUGAGACUAUCGAAAGGAUUAAAUGAGAUGAUACACCUGUAACGCUAACUGAAGCCACAAUCCAUGUCGUCCAGUUCCAGAGGAGGGCCAGAGACAAGGAAACAUGGAAAUCUGUAGCCUCAACGUCAUGGAAAAGCAAUUCCAAUUUUAUUCAAGUUUCUCAGCAUUAAAAAGAAUUCAAUCAUAAGCAUUGUAGUAUUUCUCAUAGCUGCUUGCUUCUUCUACUACUUCACCUGUAUCCCCAGUCUCUGGAGUUCCUCAUUCACCACAAUGCCAAAGAGCAUUCUCCACUCCUCCUCACCCUUCCUGUUGCUCCCACCCCAUCCCCCACCUAUCCAUUCCAUCUCUUUCCCAGUCCUUAUUAUAAAGGUGACUUAACCUCUUUCAAAAAGUCCUUUCUCUUCAACUCCAGUCUCUCUGGUUCUAUGUUUCUCUGGCCAUUCUGCAUCACAAGUAAAGAGAAACCAUUCUGAGGAAGACAGACCAGUGGAUUGUUCUGGGAGGUGAACACUGGCAGAGAAGGAAGUUUAAAUCAAACUGGAAAUCACAGGCUUUUUCCUUGUGGAUAUAGGAGGGUGAUGUGGCAGCGAAUCGA
rnacentral:lncRNA from 1 species